GAAAAAGGUCCGGUCAAGUGUUGAAGAAAACUAUAAUAUUUUUCUAGUUAUUUGGAAAACUACAAAAUUUUGAUAAUGAAUUUGAAAAGUUAGCAUAUAUAUCCAAUUUUACGAGGUUGAGCUCAUAAUUGGAUUGGAUGAUUAGUCCAUGAUUGAAUUUAAUCAGAUGGAUGGAGUAUUCCUUUCCAUCCAACUCUUUGAUUUAUAUUCUCUUUCCCAUUUGACGCAGCCGCACAGCAUCUCCACAACCCGAUUUAAAACCUUAUCUCAGUUGCCGGAAUCAAUUUCUUCUUCUUCUUCUUCUGUCGGGUUCUAUUUUCUUUCUUCAAUAGGGUGAAAUUGGCCAAAUCUGACCGGUGGAUCUUUUUGUUUUUUGUUUAUUGGUGUUGGAGGCUGCAAAACAUGGCAGAUUUAGAAAAUUUACUUGUUGAAGGAAGUGAGUCUUAGGGAUGAUGGGAAGCCCUCCGGAUCUCUAAAGAAGAGGUUAGAUCAGAUCAACUUCAGUUGGAUGCUUUGUGAGAGUUGGAAUUGGAAGAUCAACAUCUGAGCCUGUCUAUAGGCUCUGCUUGGUGCACAAUGUUGUUGCAACACAACCUGAUCGUCACUUUAAACUAGACAACAUAAUCACACACAAUACAAAUAUCUUACUGUUAUUUGGGGGAAUGAGGGUUCUACUGUUAGGUGUCAAAUAUCUAUGUUUCGGACUCUCUUCCACUCCAGGAUGAAUAUAAACAAUGGGUUGAGGAGGUACAUCGAACUAGCAGUCCGAUGCCGAGCAACCAACAUAUUUUGGAUAAGAACGUUGAGGAAAGACAUAAAAUCUCAUCUCGUCUUAUCUAACAUGUAAUCAGAGCCUUUUGGUUUCAUAACUUUUUAGGCUAAUGAAAUCAUGAUGUUUAUUGCACAUAAUCAAUAUCUAGAGAAUGAGUCUGGCUAUUUGCUUUUGAUUAUUCAUCUUACGAUCAUUUAA